rnacentral:tRNA from 1 species
GCGCCUGUAGCUCAGUCGGAUAGAGCGAAUGCCUUCUAAGCAUUAGGUCGCAGGUUCGAUUCCUGCCAGGCGCGCGA